ACAGCAGCAGCCGCGGUAAUACGAAGGGUGCAAGCGUUAAUCGGAAUUACUGGGCGUAAAGCGUGCGUAGGCGGUUUGUUAAGUCUGUCGUGAAAGCCCUGGGCUCAACCUGGGAAUUGCGAUGGAUACUGGGCGACUAGAGUGCGGUAGAGGAUAGUGGAACUUCCGGUGUAGCAGUGAAAUGCGUAGAGAUCGGAAGGAACAUCUGUGGCGAAGGCGACUAUCUGGGCCAACACUGACACUGAGACACGAAAGCGUGGGGAGCAAACAGGAUUAGAUACCCCUGUAGUCCCUGUCUCUUAUAC
rnacentral:rRNA from 1 species